AGUGAACGCUGGCGGUAGGCCUAACACAUGCAAGUCGAACGGCAGCACAGUAGGAGCUUGCUCUUACGGGUGGCGAGUGGCGGACGGGUGAGGAAUACAUCGGAAUCUACUUUUUCGUGGGGGAUAACGUAGGGAAACUUACGCUAAUACCGCAUACGACCUACGGGUGAAAGCAGGGGAUCUUCGGACCUUGCGCGAUUGAAUGAGCCGAUGUCGGAUUAGCUAGUUGGCGGGGUAAAGGCCCACCAAGGCGACGAUCCGUAGCUGGUCUGAGAGGAUGAUCAGCCACACUGGAACUGAGACACGGUCCAGACUCCUACGGGAGGCAGCAGUGGGGAAUAUUGGACAAUGGGCGCAAGCCUGAUCCAGCCAUACCGCGUGGGUGAAGAAGGCCUUCGGGUUGUAAAGCCCUUUUGUUGGGAAAGAAAAGCAGCAGGUUAAUACCCCGCUGUUCUGACGGUACCCAAAGAAUAAGCACCGGCUAACUUCG
rnacentral:rRNA from 1 species